AAUAAGUUUAUUUUUUAGUUUUUAGCUGUAAUACUUUGGCUCUUCGUUUUAUUUAAAAAAAAUUGUGAUUACUAUUUUUUAUUGUUACUGGAUAAUAAAACAUAAAUAGUACUUUAUGUGUGACUAUUUUUUAAAAAAUUUUGUAUAAUUUUUUAAAUAAGACGAAUGAUCAAACUUUGGACACAGAAAUUAAAAAAUGAGGUUAUC
rnacentral:pre_miRNA from 1 species